rfam:Schistosoma mattheei strain Denwood, Zambia genome assembly, scaffold: SMTD_scaffold0015863
AUCCAAAUGAAGAGUCGCAAAUAAGACGAAACGCACUUCCUGGAU